CUUAACUGAUGUGACCAGUUUGUGACAAGUCUCGAAGCUUCCCAAAGUCUCCAGUCCGCAUAAACUGAAGAAUACAGCUUCUUCAUUCUCUUCGUUUGCUCUUAGCUCGACACACUGUAUUUGCAGGAUUGCUCUGAUUUUCUCAGUGUACAUGCGUGUAACUGCUGCGCUUUUGCCUGUAAAAUUCCAGUUGAAAUUGAAACAAGUGUACCCGAUCAGUGGAUCAUGGGGUAGAGUGGGCACGAUAGCUCCACAGAAACAAGUUAAUGAUUCUACAGAAGGAAGGCCAAUCACAAAGGAGAAUGCGGAGCCUACUGUAGCCUUCAGCAAGCCUCCAACAAUGCCACCCGUUAUCGGCCCAUUGGUUGCUCUCUCGUUGCUUGAAUCUUGGUGGAGCCGGGAUGGGGAUGAUGAUUAAUUGAUCAUAAGUGUGAAGCUUUUAAGCCAUAGCUUGUGUAAGUAGUCUCUUGACUCUCUACUUGAGAAACAUCUUUAGAAUGUUUAUUAGCAUAUGCUAAGUGCUAAGCAACGUAAUUGAAAGUUCCAUAUGUUGUCGUUGCCUGUCACGAUUGGAUUGAUAAAAGCCGCCAAAAAUGUAGUGUAAAUCUUUACUAUGUAUUGUAUUAUUACUUGAGGACUCUCUAGCAAUCCUGCUGAGUAGAACCAGUAAGCUAGUUCAAUUUGAUGCUAUGGGUUAUGUAUAAAAUUGUGAAUUUUUCUUUUCUGAAAUGUAAAUGACUUGAGUUUGAAUCUUAAAUUCAGUAGUUUUGGGGAAAACAUCAAACAGUGAAA